rnacentral:lncRNA from 1 species
AUUUAUGGAUACGGUAAAUAAGUGUUGGUCGAAAAUGGCGGGUCAAUAUCGACUGGGUUAAAUCUAUCAUGAGUGGAAUGAAUCUUGUAAAACGUCAAGGUAGCACAAGUUGUAAAAAUGACAAAUUUGAAAAUCGACAUCCCUGCUGAUAUGAUCCUAAACUGUGACCACGCUGGUUUAUAUCAGACUGGACGAUGGACGAGGAAGGGAAGAAACGAGUUGAAAUAUCGGGCCUCGGUGACAAACGCCAGAUAACAGCAAUAUUUGCUGGUUCGCUUACAGGUGAAUUUCUACCAUCAUAAUUAAUAUUUGGAGGAAAUACGAACCGUUGUCAUCCCAGUUAUGAGUUCCCCGGAGACUGGCAUAUAACACAUAGCGACAUUCACUUGGCACAACUGGCCUACGUCGAUCACGUGAUUCUACCGCGGUUGCAUUUUUGUUGUUUAAGAGCGCAAAUGAUUGAAGUUUAAAAACCACUUGUCAAAUAAUCAUAUUAAAAUUGUUUACGUGCCAGCGUGCUGCACUAGUUGGUUGCAGCCUAUGGACUUAAGCGUGCAAAAAUCGGUCAAGACGCAUUUGAAGACAUCGUUUGAUCUUGGUGUUCAAAGAAAAUCACAAAGCAAUGGGCGUUGACUCUGACGAAGUCAGGCCAGCAGAGAUGCUAUUGCAUUUUAUGAAAGAGCAGUUUUCACAAUGCCUUGUUUCAAUGUUUCAGAGCAUUAAAGCCAAACUAGAGCUAAUCGUGAAUGAGUUUCGUGCUGCCGGAGUAGCUGGUGCAUUUGAAGAUAUCAUGUUUCUAAAUCAGUUAAAGGUUAAAUGUUCUGUUAAAAAUGCGAACUGCAUAGACAAUGAUCAUGUAAUAGCACUUUACUAACAUAUAUUUUUUAAAUCCACAUGCAAUUAUAUCUUACAAUGUAUUCAUUAAAAGCAAAGUAACUUUA